GACGAACGCUGGCGGCGUGCUUAACACAUGCAAGUCGAACGCUGAAGCUCAGCUUUUGUUGGGUGGAUGAGUGGCGAACGGGUGAGUAACACGUGAGUAACCUGCCCCCUUCUUUGGGAUAACGCCCGGAAACGGGUGCUAAUACUGGAUAUUCACUGGUCUUCGCAUGGGGGUUGGUGGAAAGGGUUUUUCUGGUGGGGGAUGGGCUCGCGGCCUAUCAGCUUGUUGGUGGGGUGAUGGCCUACCAAGGCUUUGACGGGUAGCCGGCCUGAGAGGGUGACCGGUAACAUUGGGACUGAGAUACGGCCCAGACUCCUACGGGAGGCAGCAGUGGGGAAUAUUGCACAAUGGGCGCAAGACUGAUGCAGCGACGCCGCGUGAGGGAUGGAGGCCUUCGGGUUGUGAACCUCUUUAGCUCAUGGUCAAGCCGCAACAAUGGUUGUGGUGAGGGUAGUGGGUAAAGAAGCGCCGGCUAACUACGUG
rnacentral:rRNA from 1 species